rnacentral:lncRNA from 1 species
AGAGUAUUCCCACUGAGAGCCUACCAUGCCAAGAUUUGACAUGCUGCCUCUGGCCCUUUUCCCCCCCUUACUUUAACCAGAUCCUGUGUGUUCCCAACUGUGAAUCAGACACAUCUUUGGCAAAAGUUCACAUCAAGGUGCUGUGGGGAGGUGCCUGGAGAUGCACGAAGACAGAGCCAUCAAGUAGAUAUGUCACUGGGGGAAUAAUUGCUAUGGCAAGGCCCAGACAGAGAGAGCAUCUCUGUCUACAGAAGGUUCUGUAAGAGAGCAGACCAAGCAAGC